rnacentral:rRNA from 1 species
CGGCGAGCGAACAGGGAAGAGCCCAGCGCCGAAUUCCGCGUCUCAAAGGGCGUUUGGAACAUGUGGCGUUUAGGAGGAAUCUCUCCGAGGGCAGACGGUGUCGCAAGUCCCCCUGAACGGGGCUGUGAUCCAGAGCGGGUGCGAGGCCCAUAGCUGGUACCGUCUCCUUUGGGUGUCCCCUCCUUGGAGUCGGGUUGCUUGGGAGUGCAGCCCUAAUUGGGUGGUAAACUCCACCUAAGGCUAAAUACGUCCGUGAGACCGAUAGCAAACAAGUACCGUGAGGGAAAGUUGCAAAGAACUUUGAAGAGAGAGUUCAAGAGUACGUGAAACCGCUCAGAGGCAAACGGGUGGGCCCACGAAAGCCGAAGGCGGGGGGAUUCAGUCGAGAGGACGGUGGGGCAGGACUGGCUGGUUGGACGGACCGUGCCAGGCCGGGUCAGUUCCCGAGAUCUGCCGCCUUUCGACGCAUUUCCCCCUGCUUAGUAGGACGCCGCAACCGGUUGGCGCUGCAGCCAUAAGGGAGAGUAAAUGGAAGGUAGCCAGUGAGUUCUUCUUCGGAGGCGCGAGCUGGUCCUAAGCCGACUCUCCUGGUGCUUGUGGCCCGACCGUGGUCGUGAGUCCCUCAACGGGAUGUCGCCGAGCCCUCUGACUGGAGCGGGAGAAAUGGCAGGCUGCUUUCCGCGGAAAAAAUCGAUCGCUUCACGCGUGCAGUGGGCGAUCUCCGGAGGUAGCUGCUGGUGCAUUUUUCUCCUGCGCUGGGCACAGGCAGUUGGCGGCGAGUAGGUCGGUCACCCACCCGACCCGUCUUGAAACACGGACCAAGGAGUCUAACAUGUGCGCGAGUCAUUGGGUCUUGAACAAGCCCAAAGGCGCAAUGAAAGUGAAGACCAGCACUGAAGCUGGUGGAGUUGGGAAACUGUGUCACUGAAGAUGCAGUUGCACCAACGGCCCGUCCCGUCCGCAUCGUCGGUGGGGCGGAGCGAGAGCGUACACGUUGGGACCCGAAAGAUGGUGAACUAUGCCUGGGCAGGACGAAGCCAGAGGAAACUCUGGUGGAGGUCCG